AAGAAUCAAGGAAGCAUGGAAGUUAUACUACGAUAAGUCGAGGGUUCAGAUUGAAAACUACGAACUCGAGAUCAUUGACGCCCCAAAACAGGCUGUAAGGAGUGUGCACUGUGGCUUCUACAUGCUGGAAUAUCUUGAUAAGUGGGAUGGUGUAAAUGUGCCUCGAAUUCGGAAAGAGGACAUCCAAAAAAUAAAGAAGAUAACAGCCAACAAAUGGCUCAACGCUCCUUUCAACAAAA